UACAGAGGUCUCAAGCGUUGUUCGGAUUCAUUGGGCGUAAAGGGUGCGUAGGUGGCGAUGUAAGUCUAACGUGAAAUCUCGGGGCUCAACCCCGAAAUUGCGUCGGAUACUGCGUUGCUAGAGGAUUGUAGAGGAGAGUGGAAUUCAUGGUGUAGCAGUGAAAUGCGUAGAUAUCAUGAGGAAGACCAGUUGCGAAGGCGACUCUCUGGGCAACUCCUGACACUGAGGCACGAAGGCUAGGGGAGCAAACGGG
rnacentral:rRNA from 2 species